GUGCCCGUAGCGCAGCCUGGAUAGCGCGUCGGUUUCCUAAACCGUAGGUCGCAGGUUCAAAUCCUGUCGGGCACG
rnacentral:tRNA from 1 species